UUGUGGCCUUUUUGUAUAGUUUUCGUGUCCAAUUGAUUGAUUGACUCAAAAUGCCAAGUUUAUAUUUUAAAAUAAGUACCGUAAGAAAUCAAUGUUUAUUUGCACGUUGCGUCAAAAUUCAAAUAAUUCAUUGUACAUUUUGGAACGACAAUUUAGAAAAACUUUCGUUCGCCAUGCACGGGUGUUCGAAUCCCAGAUGUUUUCCACAGUUUGCGAACCGAGGCCCGGCGCACACACUCGUUACGUGGGGUUUCAGUAAGGUCUUUCACCUGAUCAAUCCAACGCAUGGGGAUUCGUCCACGAGAUCUCUUACCAUUGACCCUACCCGGAACAACAAGUUUCUCGAUAGACUCUGCUGGCCGACGCGAUACGUGUCCAAAAUAUCGAAGAAUCCUGGAUUGCACUGUUGACGAUAACAUGUGAGCGAUAUUUAGUUCUUUUAGGAUCGAGUCGUUGGUGCGAUGCUCAGUCCAAGAUCAUUAAUAUUUAAUUAGAUAAAUCAUUUCAAUAAAAUUUUCGGUAUUAAAUAUUCAAUUCGAUUAUU